GACGAACGCUGGCGGCGUGCUUAACACAUGCAAGUCGAACGAUGAAGAAAAGAAUCGAAGCUUCGGCAGAAAUUCAUUUCGGAUUAGUGGCAGACGGGUGAGUAACGCGUGAGCAACCUACCUCUUACAAAGGGAUAGCCUCGGGAAACCGGGAUUAAUACCAUAUAACAUUGCAACGAAGCAUUUCGAUGCAAUCAAAGCUACGGCGGUAAGAGAUGGGCUCGCGUCCCAUUAACCGGAUGGUGAGGUAACGGCUCACCAUAGUGACGAUGGGUAACCGGGCUGAGAGGGUGAACGGUCACACUGGAACUGAGACACGGUCCAGACUCCUACGGGAGGCAGCAGUGGGGAAUAUUGCACAAUGGAGGGAACUCUGAUGCAGCGACGCCGCGUGAGUGAUGAAGGAAUUCGUUUCGUAAAACUCUGUUCUAUGGGAAGAAAAGGACGGUACCAUAGGAGAAAGCGCCGGCUAAAUACGUG
rnacentral:rRNA from 1 species